rnacentral:rRNA from 1 species
UACGAAGGGUGCAAGCGUUGUUCGGAAUUACUGGGCGUAAAGGGUUCGUAGGCGGGAAGAUAAGUUAAGUGUGAAAUCCCUAGGCUCAACCUAGGACGUGCAUUUAAAACUGUUUUUCUUGAGUGUUGGAGAGGGUAGUGGAAUUGCUGGUGUAGGAGUGACAUCCGUAGAGAUCAGCAGGAACAUCAGAGGCGAAAGCGACUGCCUGGCCAAACACUGACGCUGAGGAACGAAAGCGUGGGGAGCAAACAGG